rnacentral:snoRNA from 1 species
CAGGCUGUGAUGAUUGGCGCAGGGGUACGGACCUCAGCUGAUGAUGGGAGCUGAGUGUAUGUGCUUUUCCUUCAUCCUGCAUGUGGCAGGAUGCUGGUGAGCACUUACAUGAGACUCGUGCCAUAAUCUGAGCCUG